CUGAUGGAGGAACCACCAGCAUCUACAGUUUUACUGCAUGGCUUGCCAAGCGGUGCCAUGUCCGCACCCAGGAUCUGAACCGGUGAACCCCGGGCCGCUGAGAAGUGGAACGUGCGAACUUAACCGCUGCGCCACCAAGCCGGCCCCUGGGAACCUGCAUUUUGACAAGGGGUAGGGGGAGGAGGAGUAUGAGAGCUGAAAAGAAAGUAUGGCGGUAGGAUGGAAAUGCCCAGAUUUAAAGACAUCAUGCAGUGUCAUGCCAAGAUGGAGGACACUCUGGGCUGGCCAAGGGAAUGGGCCAAAACUGUGGGUCAGCAGACACAGUCACUGCCCUGCCCACAUGCCCUGGCUUGCCUGGGAGGUCACCUGCAGACCCUGCCCUAUGCUCCAAAGGGCUUCCUGUGUCUGCCUGGAGGUAUUCUAUGGCUUCAGGGUCAGGUUCCGGGAGCCAUCUUCACCAGUGAGACAGGAGUUGGAUGAAUACCCGGCUUCCUGACUGCUCAG
rnacentral:lncRNA from 1 species